CGUGUAGGCGGCUUUGCAAGUCUGAUGUGAAAGCCCCCGGCUUAACCGGGGAAGUGCAUCGGAUACUGCAUAGCUUGAGUCCGGAAGAGGGUGGUGGAAUUCCCGGUGUAGUGGUGGAAUGCGUAGAUAUCGGGAGGAACACCAGUGGCGAAGGCGACGUCCUGGCCCGCACCUGGCGCUAAGACGCGAAAGCGUGGGUAGCGAACG
rnacentral:rRNA from 1 species